rnacentral:lncRNA from 1 species
CAGGGGGAAGAUGGUGGUUCAGGUUCGAUGGAUUAAAGGAUUGUUUCAUCUGAUGCUGCUGCUUCGGGCCGCAGCUGAAACCACACAGCUGGUCAGAGAAGGAGACAAAGCCAUGCUGACCUGCGGCAACCUCAAAGAGAAUCCGGCAAAAUGCGGAGGUACAACCUGGACUUUUACUGCUGCCGGUACCAGAACGAACCAGGAACUGGUCACACUGGGACGUGUCAAGGAAAUACGGCAGCUCAGAAUUUCACUGUCAGAGGACUGUUCUCUGCUGAUCCCGGAGGUCCGAGCUGAGGACGCCGGACUUUACGCCUGUCAGCAGUUCAGAUCAGGGGUCGAACAGCAGCCGGAUGCCCCCGUGUACCUGACCGUGGUUACCUUGACAGCGCAGGUCAAGGCGGACUAUGUCGAACUUACCUGCUGCGUGUUCACCUAUAAGACCUGCUCACACAAGGUGACGUGGUUCUUCAACGAAGUCCAAAUGAAAAAGGGGACUGGCCUGGUCCUCACGUCCCAGAAUUCCUGCAGCGCCACUGCGAACGUGAUGACCUGUCACGAGUAUUGGAAGAGGAAUACCCUCCUGACGUGUCAAGUCCAAUAUGAUCAAGUGGUUAAGACCUUUCCACUCAGGGCUCCAGGUGUUGCAUCAGCAGAAACAACAACAACUGUGUCGACCAGAACAGCCGACGACUCGGCGCCCCUCCGAGAUUUCUGGUGGUUUUUUAUCAUCAUUGCUGCCAUUUUUGUGGUGUUUUUAGUGGUUGUUGUGAUAGUUGUCAAAAAGAAACAAACUAAAGCUGUUGAAAAGAACUGCAAUGAUGGACGGAACACACACUCAGCAGUGACUCAUUCUUCCCCAGAAAUCAGCCAGGACAAGAGGGAUGCUGAAGAUCCUGUUUCUUACGCCACCAUCAUAUUCAGGUCCCCACCGAGAGCUCAGGUAAGGGUUUUCUAUUAAUUUAUAUAUUCCAGAUAUGCGUGUAUUCCAGAUCAAUGAUGCCUUCAGGACAGGAACUGAAACAACAUGGAGGUAUAUCAUGACAAAUUUAGAGGAAGUAAAGUUUUGCAACAGCUCCUGUAGUGACAUAAUGUUUCCUGACUCACAAAUACCGGU